rnacentral:rRNA from 1 species
UACUGAAGGUGCAAGCGUUAAUCGGAAUUACUGGGCGUAAAGCGCGCGUAGGCGGUUUGUUAAGUUGGAUGUGAAAGCCCAGGGCUCAACCUUGGAACUGCAUCCGAUACUGGCAGGCUAGAAUAUAAGAGAGGGAGGUAGAAUUUCAGGUGUAGCGGUGAAAUGCGUAGAGAUCUGAAGGAAUACCGUGGCGAAGGCGGCCUCCUGGCCUAAUAUUGACGCUGGGUGCGAAUGGGGCAAACAGGAUUAGAUACCCGUGUAGUCC